GCAAAUAUAACCUUCUUUUUAUAAAAAUAAACAGUAUCAUGAGUACACAUAACACAUGCUUCAAGCAUAUUAAGGAUCUGAUUCCAAGAAAUACAAAUCUGCUAAAAAAUUUCAUCAAAUAGAAAAACGUGUUUCCAACACUACAAACCAUGCCUCAUAAUCCAUAGCCGUUUUUCUCUCCUAGCGGUAUCAUGUGGUAUGCCUCCUUUAUUUUCCGGGUAUGAUUCCAUGUGUUGUGACUGCAUAUUUCUCGCUUACUAGUGAUAUAGUUGCCCUGAACACUUCCUGACUACUAUAUGUAGCACCACUGCUACAGUUCUUUCCCAGUACCUCCCUAGCUACUAUGCUUUGUCCAUCACAUUUGACCAAGCAUCGAUGACUUCCCCUUGUUUCACAUACCUGUGGGUAUCUACAUCGCGAGCCACAAGAGUCCGGUGAGGUGCAGCGAUGCCGGCACAUUUAACCUUUGAAAACUGAGUGUGUGUGUCUUGUUAGUUUUCUUGCAAAACAAUGACAAAACAUUGGGCACUUAUAUGCUUGAGCUCACGUCGCCCGCCAUGCCCACCUUCGAUGACCAUGACAUGCUCACAAUCGUUAAAGAAUGAUCUUCCACUCCAGUUAGCCCUUUAGAAAUUCAGGAAGCAUGAGUAAAUUGAUUUGAAUACAAACAUGACGCCUACGAAAAAGUACGGAGCAUGGAAAUGAAGGAAAUUGAACACAAUGUAGAAACACAAGUGUGAAGUACAUGAAGCACCGCAUACACAGUUAAGAAGCAUAACUAUCAUGUGUAUGAAGCAAAUUGUGCAUUGUACAGAAGCACAUGUAUGAUGCAGAUGAAUCAAGAAAAUUGGAUGCAUCAUAUUCGUGCAAUCUCAACAUAACUUAUACAUAGUGGAAGAACAUUUUAUAGGGAUACAAAAGAUCUCCACACGGUCAUACAAAUUAAGACAAUGGAAUGCAUCUUAUCCUUAAUAUACGUGAUAUUUAGGAAGCAUGAUUUAGUUGUGGAUUAAGUAAACAUGAUGCAUACAAGCAUAGAGGCGUAGAGAUGAAGCAAAACUAAGCAUAAUGUAGAUGGAUAGUUUUGAUAUGUAUGAAGCAAUUGGACUCAGUUUAGAAGCUCUACGACGGUAAAUAUGAAGCAAACAAUAAAGACUGAUGAUAUGUAGUACUAUAUGUAUGAAGCGUGAAAAGCUAGAAGCAUGGUAUGAAUGCAAAUUCAGCACAUUUUCUGUGGUUUGGACAAUCACUUAUUAUUUUAUUGAGAAUCAUAUACUUCCGAUGUUAUGAGGAUAGUGAGGACCAAUGCUUGGAUGAGGAUGGUAUGAAGGCCGAUUUGUGCAACUGGCCGUGUGUGCUCCCUUCAUCUCUGAACAUAGACAGGGAAGAGGUGAAAAGGGAGACAUAAAUCAUCCCACUAAUAUUGCCCCCAAAUUUAGGAAGCACGUGUGCAUCAUGCACAUACCAAAUUUAGGUGUAUUACUCUGAUUCAGUCAUACAAUGCAUAAUGGAGUGGGAAAAUAAUCAUGAUUUAGCCAUACGAAUACACAGCGGAAUGGAGAAAAUUAAUCAAACAACACUCAUAAUAUACAGAUAUGUUAGAAAUUAGAGAUGGCUAUAUCAAGAUUUGAGAAACCAAGGUGAGAUGGGGAUGAAACCAUCGGAGGGGAGGGGACAACUCCAGUAAUGUUCCUCGCGUGAUGGCUUUCUUCGGCGACCGAGAUGAAGCUCCACCAUGGUGGACUGGACUCCGUGGUGCCCGAAGCAAUUGACCAUCAUAGUGGUGGGGUUGCGAGCUCGCUGGUUAUGUGCACCGUGGCUAAUGCAGGCCGCAACCACCAGAAGGGAUGGCACACCGGCAUGGCGAGUCACAAGAUCACAUGGGAGGUUGGUUCUUGGCGGCGAGAACAACGACAAUGACGAGAUUGGCCAUGUCGGGAGUACAGAUGGAGAUGGGAACGAGGAGAUGGGUGCGUUUAUGGCAGGUGAGAUUAUUGCGGGAGGGGUUGUGGAAAACUAUCAGGUUGUUUUGGAAACAAAUUAAAAGAUUUCAGUGGCAAUCUCGACGGUGAGAUAAGAAAGGAUCUCGACGAUGCCCAGCCAGUCUGAUGAAUGUCUAUUAUCAGAUGUCUGGUAGCAUGUGUUUCCCUUUUAGGGUACUCCUAGGCAUCAGACUACUGAUAAUUUGCGAGUAUCAGACCAGUCAGAGGCCGUCGGAUCGGAAGCAGGAUGUACGUCUGAUUUGGUUAUUAGGUGCUUCCGAUCGUUAAUUUGUUAUUGCUUCCAUAAUGCACGCCCUGUUGUCUGGCGUCCCUCUCGAGCUAUAAAUGUUGCUUCCCCUAAUUUUUGUCCUAAUAAAUACUUCAUAAAUCAGUGCCAUGACUACUUCCAUAAAUAAUGUGAGUCUCCAUUCUUGGUUUCCGACGAGUAUAUUUGCUUCCUUAUAAAUAACGUGAGAGUCCAUUCUUGGUUUUCAGGUCAGCAUAUGUGCUUCCUUAUAAAGCAAAUCUAGAUUCCACUAUGCUUCCUUACGAAGGAGAUUUUGAUUCCAUUAUUAUGAAAAUUUGCUUCCAUAAGUUUCAUGUGGAUUUUCUUGGACAUCAUAUGCACUAUUUUCCAGUGUAAGGCAUAAUUAAACUUGCUUCCGUUUAUCAAGAAUUUGUUUCUACAUUGAAUUAAACUUGCCUUGGUUAAUAAAAAAGGAAAACAAUGCCCAAUGGAGAAAAUUUCGAUCGAACAGGGGAUUGCUCUUCGCAAAUAAAACCUUAUUUUUAUAAAAAUAAACAGUAUCAUGAGUACACAUAACACAUGCUUCAAGCAUAUUAAGGAUCUGAUUCCAAGAAAUACAAAUCUGCUAAUUUUUUUCAUCAAAUAGAAAAACGUGUUUCCAACACUACAAACCAUGCCUCAUAAUCCAUAGUAGUUUUUUUCUCCUAGCGGUAUCAUGUGGUAUGCCUCCUUUAUUUUCUGAGUAUGAUUCCAUGUGUUGUGAUUGCAUAUUUCUUGCUUACUGGUGAUAUAGUUGCCCUGAACACUUCCUGACUACUAUAUGUAGCACCACUGCUACAGUUCUUUCCUAGUACCUCCCGAGCUACUAUGCUUUGUCCAUCACAUUUGACCAAGCAUCGAUGACUUCCCUUUGUUUCACAUACCUGCGGGUAUCUACAUCGCGAGCCACAAGAGUCCGGUGAGGUGCAGCGAUGCCAGCACAUUUAACCUUUGAAAACUGAGUGUGUGUGUCUUGUUAGUUUUCUUGCAAAACAAUGACAAAACAUUGGGCACUUAUAUGCUUGAGCUCACGUCGCCCGCCAUGCCCACCAUCGAUGACCAUGACAUGCUCACAAUCGUUAAAGAAUGAUCUUCCACUC
rnacentral:lncRNA from 1 species